GCUUGCUACCUGACCUAGCGGCGGACGGGUGAGUAAUGCUUAGGAAUCUGCCUAUUAGUGAGGGACAACAUUCCGAAAGGAAUGCUAAUACCGCAUACGCCCUACGGGGGAAAGCAGGGGAUCUUCGGACCUUGCGCUAAUAGAUGAGCCUAAGUCAGAUUAGCUAGUUGGUGGGGUAAAGGCCUACCAAGGCGACGAUCUGUAGCGGGUCUGAGAGGAUGAUCCGCCACACUGGGACUGAGACACGGCCCAGACUCCUACGGGAGGCAGCAGUGGGGAAUAUUGGACAAUGGGCGAAAGCCUGAUCCAGCCAUGCCGCGUGUGUGAAGAAGGCCUUUUGGUUGUAAAGCACUUUAAGCGAGGAGGAGGCUACUUGGAUUAAUACUCUAGGAUAGUGGACGUUACUCGCAGAAUAAGCACCGGCUAACUCUGUGCCAGCAGCCGCGGUAAUACAGAGGGUGCGAGCGUUAAUCGGAUUUACUGGGCGUAAAGCGUGCGUAGGCGGCUUUUUAAGUCGGAUGUGAAAUCCCUGAGCUUAACUUAGGAAUUGCAUUCGAUACUGGGAAGCUAGAGUAUGGGAGAGGAUGGUAGAAUUCCAGGUGUAGCGGUGAAAUGCGUAGAGAUCUGGAGGAAUACCGAUGGCGAAGGCAGCCAUCUGGCCUAAUACUGACGCUGAGGUACGAAAGCAUGGGGAGCAAACAGGAUUAGAUACCCUGGUAGUCCAUGCCGUAAACGAUGUCUACUAGCCGUUGGGGCCUUUGAGGCUUUAGUGGCGCAGCUAACGCGAUAAGUAGACCGCCUGGGGAGUACGGUCGCAAGACUAAAACUCAAAUGAAUUGACGGGGGCCCGCACAAGCGGUGGAGCAUGUGGUUUAAUUCGAUGCAACGCGAAGAACCUUACCUGGUCUUGACAUAGUAAGAACUUUCCAGAGAUGGAUUGGUGCCUUCGGGAACUUACAUACAGGUGCUGCAUGGCUGUCGUCAGCUCGUGUCGUGAGAUGUUGGGUUAAGUCCCGCAACGAGCGCAACCCUUUUCCUUAUUUGCCAGCGGGUUAAGCCGGGAACUUUAAGGAUACUGCCAGUGACAAACUGGAGGAAGGCGGGGACGACGUCAAGUCAUCAUGGCCCUUACGACCAGGGCUACACACGUGCUACAAUGGUCGGUACAAAGGGUUGCUACCUAGCGAUAGGAUGCUAAUCUCAAAAAGCCGAUCGUAGUCCGGAUUGGAGUCUGCAACUCG
rnacentral:rRNA from 1 species